rnacentral:rRNA from 1 species
UGGGGAAUAUUGCGCAAUGGGCGAAAGCCUGACGCAGCGACGCCGCGUGAGGGAUGAAGGUUUUCGGAUCGUAAACCUCUGUCAGAAGGGAAGAAACCGCACUGUGCUAAUCAGCAGUGCCUUGACGGUACCUUCAAAGGAAGCACCGGCUAACUCCGUGCCAGCAGCCGCGGUAAUACGGAGGGUGCAAGCGUUAAUCGGAAUUACUGGGCGUAAAGCGCACGUAGGCUGCUUUGUAAGUCAGGGGUGAAAUCCCACGGCUCAACCGUGGAACUGCCUUUGAUACUGCUUAGCUUGAAUCCAGGAGAGGGUGGCGGAAUUCCAGGUGUAGGAGUGAAAUCCGUAGAUAUCUGGAGGAACAUCAGUGGCGAAGGCGGCCACCUGGACCGGUAUUGACGCUGAGGUGCGAAAGCGUGGGGAGCAAACAGG